rnacentral:rRNA from 1 species
AUGGCCCGCUACGACCGAGCGAUCACCGUCUUCUCCCCCGACGGCCACCUCUUCCAGGUUGAGUACGCCCUCGAGGCCGUCCGCAAGGGCAACGCCGCCGUCGGCGUCCGAGGCGUCGACACCGUCGUCCUCGGUGUCGAGAAGAAGUCCACCCCCAAGCUCCAGGACUCCAGGUCCGUGCGCAAGAUCGCGAGCCUGGACACCCACAUCGCGCUGGCCUGCGCGGGUCUGAAGGCGGACGCGCGCGUGCUCAUCAACCGGGCGCGCGUCGAGUGCCAGAGCCACCGCCUCACCGUCGAGGACCCCGUCACUGUCGAGUACAUCACGCGCUACAUCGCCGGCCUGCAGCAGAAGUACACGCAGAGCGGAGGGGUGCGCCCGUUCGGGCUCUCCACGCUCAUAGUUGGCUUCGACCCCUAUACCGAGAAGCCCGCGCUGUACCAGACCGACCCCUCCGGCACCUUCUCCGCCUGGAAGGCCAACGCCACCGGCCGCAACUCCAACUCCAUGCGCGAAUUCCUUGAGAAGAAUUACAAGGAGACGUCCGGCAAGGAGACCAUCAAGCUUACCAUCCGAGCCCUCCUUGAGGUUGUCGAGAGUGGUGGCAAGAACAUUGAGAUUGCUGUGAUGACGCACAAAGAUGGUCUUCGCCAGCUUGAGGAAGAGGAGAUCGAUGAGUAUGUUGCUGAGAUUGAAGCAGAGAAGGCCGCUGCUGAGGCUGCAAAGAAGGGUGGCCCGAAAGACACAUAA